GCAGCCGCCGCGGUAAUACGUAGGUGGCAAGCGUUGUCCGGAAUUAUUGGGCGUAAAGGGCUCGCAGGCGGUUUCUUAAGUCUGAUGUGAAAGCCCCCGGCUCAACCGGGGAGGGUCAUUGGAAACUGGGAAACUUGAGUGCAGAAGAGGAGAGUGGAAUUCCACGUGUAGCGGUGAAAUGCGUAGAGAUGUGGAGGAACACCAGUGGCGAAGGCGACUCUCUGGUCUGUAACUGACGCUGAGGAGCGAAAGCGUGGGGAGCGAACAGGAUUAGAUACCCCUGUAGUCCCUGUCUCUUAUAC
rnacentral:rRNA from 1 species